ACGAGAAUCAUUUCAUUUUCACUGUUCAUCUUCUCUCCGAUCUUUGUUGAUUCUCAAGAAGGAAGGAAGGAAAGGAUGAAGCCAGUGAUAGGCACAGUGGUAUCGAACAAGAUGCAGAAAUCAGUAGUCGUCGCCGUGGACAGGCUCUUCCACAACAAGCUCUACAAUCGCUACGUCAAGCGCACUUCCAAGUUCAUGGCUCACGACGAGAAAGACUCCUGCAACAUCGGCGAUCGAGUGAAGUUAGAUCCCUCGAGGCCGUUGAGCAAGAAUAAGCAUUGGGUUGUCGCUGAGAUUAUCAAGAAAGCUCGCAUCUAUUCUCCUCAAGCCGCAGCCGCUGCUAUUGCUGCUUCUGCAUCAACUUCCUCGGCCUCCAUUGCUGACUCUACUGCUCCAUCCUCUACCUCUUAAGAUCAGAGAGAAGGAAGUAACCAGAGGUUGAAGAGAGAAGAAGAAAGAGACAAGAACCAAGUCAAGAAAGCUAAUGUGGCUGCAAACUGGUAUCUGUUGCAGAUUGUUGGAGGGCAAACUGAUUCGUCUGAUCGCAAAAGAUCCACAACACUGGCUGCUGAUGAAGCUGAAGCCAACGCUAGAACAGACACCACCUUCAAACACAAAAAAAAUUGUCAAAGAUCAGAUCAAAAUAUUGGAGACUCCUUUCCCAGUAAGCGUUAGAAAAUGUAACUACGUUACCCAAUCACCAAUUGAGAUGGCGAGAAGGAUUCGUGGCUUUUGAAAUGGUUGGUUGAGAAGAACACAAUAGAUAUCUACCAUUGCUAGUGUCAGUCAGGUUCCAUGGUAUUAGCUAAAGCCAUGAUCGUCACCAAGUAGCUGAAGAUUAAAGUUAUUAGGGUUCGUUCAUGAUAUGUAAUCUGGAGUUGGGAUCUAUAUACAUUACCAGAAAGCUGUGAAUUGGUAGAAACGAACACCGAUGGUCAUGAAGAGAAGAGCACCAAAUGCUAACAAUGUUUGACCUAAUCUCAAGGAAAGGCUUGCACUUGUGCCAACAGAACCAGGAACCUCCACCAUCACCAGCUUUGCUUGAGUAGCACUGAAAUCAAAGAUAUGAAGAUCAUGAUCAUGACGAAGAAGAAGGGAGGAUUAAAAGAAGGACAAGUUGAUGAGAGUUUCUGGUUCGCACGUUUGUUUGUAAGAGUUACGAAUGGUGGAAAAGAGAAGACUGUUCAUGUUGAGGAGAGUUGUGGUCUGUAUUCAUCAGACAAAGCUGAGCAAAUGUCGGAGCAAACACUAUUAUUCCUUUCUUCCUUCAUUUCCCAACCCCUCCCUUUAUUUUAUUCUUUUCUUGAUGUUUUUCCAUUUAAUACAAAAAGUUGACUGGUUUUAGAAAUUAGAAGACAUUUCAGAGUAUCAUUACCGGAUAAUUUUGUUCUCAUAUAGUAUUUCAUAAUAAUAAUAUAUUUUAGUUGAAAUCUA